UACCAGCACCCCGAGUGGUUGGGACGAUUAUUGGGCCUAAAGCAUCCGUAGCCGGUCCUACAAGUCUUCCGUUAAAUCCACCUGCUUAGCAGAUGGGCUGCGGAAGAUACUAUAGGGCUAGGAGGCGGGAGAGGCAAGCGGUACUCAGUGGGUAGGGGUAGAAUCCUCUGAUCCAUUGAAGACCACCAGUGGCGAAGGCGGCUUGCCAGAACGCGCUCGACGGUGAGGGAUGAAAGCUGGGGGAGCAAACCGG
rnacentral:rRNA from 1 species